GGAUGUGAGGGCGAUCUGGCUGCGACAUCUGUCACCCCAUUGAUCGCCAGGGUUGAUUCGGCUGAUCUGGCUGGCUAGGCGGGUGUCCCCUUCCUCUCUCACCGCUCCAUGUGCGUCCCUCCUGAAGCUGCGCGCUCGGUCGAAGACGACGACCUUCCCGGAAUAGAGGAGGACCGGUCUUCCGUCAAGGGUAUACGAGUAGCUGCGCUCCCCUGCUAGAACCUCCAAACAAGCUCUCAAAGGGAAACGUGGGGGGAGGGAGGGAAUUACCAUGGGAUAUUGUUUACAACCAUGGAAGUUGUUAAUUAU
rnacentral:snRNA from 1 species